rnacentral:rRNA from 1 species
UACGAGGGGGGCGAGCGUUGUUCGGAAUUAUUGGGCGUAAAGGGCGCGUAGGCGGUGCGGUAAGUCACCUGUGAAACCUCUGGGCUUAACUCAGAGCCUGCAGGCGAAACUGCCGUGCUGGAGUGUGGGAGAGGUGCGUGGAAUUCCCGGUGUAGCGGUGAAAUUCGUAGAUAUUGGGAAGAACACCGGUGGCGAAGGCGGCUAUCUGGCCCGUAAUUGACGCUGAGGCGCGAAAGCGUGGGGAGCAAACAGG